UGUGGUCGAAGGAGUGCUGGGAUCAGCAUCUGUUGCUGACAUCAUCCAUGGGAACCAGCUGCCCUUAACGGAGAAGGCAAGAUGGACAGAUCUGCACAGUCAGUGAAGAACGGCUGCUCAAUGGAUGUUCCUGUUUCUCGCACCAUUCUCUGUAAACUCUGGGGACUGUUACGCAGGAGAUCAGCAGUUUCUGAGAUACUCAAACCACC